GUGAGGAAUUUUCCGCAAUGGGCGAAAGCCUGACGGAGCAAUGCCGCGUGAAGGAUGAAGGCCUAUGGGUUGUAAACUUCUUUUCUCAGAAAAGAAUUAUGACGGUAUCUGAGGAAUAAGCAUCGGCUAACUCUGUGCCAGCAGCCGCGGUAAGACAGAGGAUGCAAGCGUUAUCCGGAAUGAUUGGGCGUAAAGCGUCUGUGGGUUGUUUAAAAAGUAUUCUGUCAAAGAUUAGGGCUUAACCCUAGAUAGGCAGAAUAAACUUUUAAGCUAGAGUUUGGUAGAGGCAGAGGGAAUUCCCGGUGGAGCGGUGAAAUGCGUAGAUAUCGGGAGGAACACCAAAGGCGAAGGCACUCUGCUGGGCCAAUACUAACACUGAGAGACGAAAGCGAGGGGAGCAAAUGGGAUUAGAAACCCGAGUAGUCC
rnacentral:rRNA from 1 species